CUGGCACUUCCAAGCCUGAGCCCAGUGUCUGCUCCACCAUCUCCCAUCCGUCUGGCAGCAGUGCUUGGUGUCUCCGAGUUACCCUGGAGCUGGGGUGGCAAACAGUGGCCUGCGGGACAAAUGUUUUGUGAUCUGCUGGUGCAUCGUAUUUCAUAAAGUGUUUCUGACUUCUGGUUCAGAAAAAAUGGCAGAAAUGGAAGAACUGAAAUCUCAGAAAUGGUUUUCCAUGAACAUUUUGGAGACUCUCCAUAUUACAUCAUGAAAAAGAAAAAGUUCACACAAUGAGAAUAGGCAGAAGACCUCAGUUGACCAUGGCUAACUGAAACUGUGAAAAGUGAAACCAAGAUGCUAAUAGACAACAGAAGGUUUCAAAACAUACGGAGAUGGAAGUAAACAGGCUCAAGAUAGUCUCUCCCACAGGUUGGAGACUGAUCCCUGGAUGUAUCAG